UCAUUUUUUCUUCCUUUUUUUUUUCAAAUUACGUUCUGAAUUUUUUUUUCUUGGUAAGUAUCCGUGUUAUUCAAUCCUUUCAUUUAUGCUUAGGCAGCUGCGUCACACGUACUAAUGAAGUGCUGGAAGUGCCUCUCAGGGAGCCCCUUUUUAAGAGUAUGCCAUAAUUUUGAAUAAAGAAAUAGAAAGGGGCAAUUGACAGAAGACUCCAUGUCUUAUACAUCACUUGCACAUCAACAAGCUGCACCCAAUAAACAGUUUGUCUCAGAUGAAGGAAUCUAAAUGAUCUGUUGGUUGUGCCCAGGGUCACUAUUUAAUAGAUCUGAAAACCCAAAAGACUCUUCCUGACAUCUCCAGAUACUAAACAUGUGACUGGUAUAGGGCACAGCCAGAUAAGUUCAGUAGCAACACAA